rnacentral:tRNA from 1 species
AAAUGAUUAAGUUAAUUAAACUUUUAUCCUUCAAAGAUAAAAAUUCCUAUAUUG